CUGCCACCCACACAACCCCAACCGGGGCUGGGGACAAACUGCAACGAGUUCACAAAUGCUUUUCCUCGGGGGAGAAGGAAGAAAUGUGCUUUCCAACAAAGACCAGCCUGACACCCGCAUCCCCAGGUCACACCUCAGCCGCCAUGGUUUCCAGGGUUAUCAUGGCCAUAACUAGGAGAGGACAGAAAUUCACAAGCUUUGGGAAAAGACGGAAGAUGAAGAGGUGGACAGGAAUUUCAAAGCUUGAAUGGAGAUAGAAUUAGCCUUGUUUGAAACACUUGCAGAACUUUACGCCCACUUUCUAUUUAUAAAUAUCCUUGUCUCUCAGAGUGCUCCUCCUGCACAAGGCUUCAGUGGAAGAUAAACACAGAGCAGCUGCUGGAGAGGCACAGAGGCGUGGCCGGUGUGGCUCAGUGGAUUCAGCAUCGUCCCAUGGACAAAGAGGUCCUGGUUCGAUUCCCAGUCAGGACACAUGCCCAGGUUGUGGUUUCG